rnacentral:rRNA from 1 species
CCUUUACACACAGUGUUUUUUGUUAUUACAAGAACUUUUGCUUUGGUCUGGACUAGAAAUAGUUUGGGCCAGAGGUUUACUGAACUAAACUUCAAUAUUUAUAUUGAAUUGUUAUUUAUUUAAUUGUCAAUUUGUUGAUUAAAUUCAAAAAAUCUUCAAAACUUUCAACAACGGAUCUCUUGGUUCUCGCAUCGAUGAAGAACGCAGCGAAAUGCGAUAAGUAAUAUGAAUUGCAGAUUUUCGUGAAUCAUCGAAUCUUUGAACGCACAUUGCGCCCUCUGGUAUUCCAGAGGGCAUGCCUGUUUGAGCGUCAUUUCUCUCUCAAACCUUCGGGUUUGGUAUUGAGUGAUACUCUUAGUCGAACUAGGCGUUUGCUUGAAAUGUAUUGGCAUGAGUGGUACUGGAUAGUGCUAUAUGACUUUCAAUGUAUUAGGUUUAUCCAACUCGUUGAAUAGUUUAAUGGUAUAUUUCUCGGUAUUCUAGGCUCGGCCUUACAAUAUAACAAACAAGUUUGACCUCAAAUCAGGUAGGAUUACCCCGCUGAACUUAAGCAUAUCAA